rnacentral:tRNA from 1 species
GAGGGUAUAGCUCAGUGGUAGAGCGCAUGCCUGGAAAUGCACGGGGUCCUGGGUUCAAUCCCCAGUACCUCCA